CACACAUUUUUAUUAAAGUACCCAAAACAGACCUUUGCACAGAUCAAAGAAGUAAUAAAUAUCACAGACAUUGGACUAACAGCCAAGAGGAAGGUCACUGGAAAGUAGCAAUGAGCAGAGGUGGCUCCAGGCACUGAACAGCAGUACCCCCACACUCCUGUAUCUGGACCCAGAAACUCCUGUCUCUCUCUCUUGUCCCAGAGCUCAGAAAACUCCAGGGAAAUGCUUGCUGCCAGGAGAGCAGGACUUGGAAACUCUCAGGUGGAGACCUGCCCUUCUGAAACUUUUUGGCCGGCAAGCCGCAGAAUCUGGAGCCAGCCCUCACUCUCUGUGGCCUCCCGCCUCCGUAAAGCUCUUGGCGAUCCUCUCCCGCCGGCCCGCCGGGGUGAGGUGGUUCAAAGCACACAGCACUUGGCACUGAAGGCCUGGAUUAAGGGGGCUGGGGACUGAUGAACUUGGCCUCCUGGGCUACCAGCCAGAAAAAACGCUGGAGAGGAUGCCACCUGCUGGUGAGGGACCCUGGCUUGCACGGUGGGCGCAACAGACCUGGAGCCUGGAUGUGCAGGGAACAAGAAUUUGGGCCGUUUUCCAAGUGGCUGGUCUUCUGCUGUCUCUUUAGGGCUGCCGCCUCCACGGCCCGUGCCCAGAGACCCAGUCGCCCGCGCGCCGUGCUCCGGACGCAGAGGUUCCCACCAGGGGCGGCGGUCUUCCUCUCCCCGACCCCUCCCCUCGCCGCGCUCCGAGGUCUAAGACUCUCCGCUCUUCUCCAUCAGGUGGAGCCGUACGCUCCUCGCCGCCUCCCACCUCCCUCCUCGCCAGCGAACUGCGCGCAGGCACCUCGCAGCGCCUGGAGGUUAACCGAGGCCCCGGAGGAGGUGAGGCCAAGGACCAGCCCGAGCGGAGAUGGCGAGGCCGCCGUCGGGGCUGGCGCCAGAGCGCAGCUGGCUGUGGGUCCUGCAGCUUCAGUGAAAGGAGCCCUUCUGUCGCUCGUCACUCGCCCGCUCGCUCGCUGUGGGAGGAGCCCGCCGGAGGAAGCUGUGUGCCUGGGCUGCCGAGAACCGGAGAACGGAUCUGCUCCGAGAGGGCACGCUGCUGACGAUCCCGGCUUCCUGAGGCGGCUACAAACAGGCAACUUGUCUUGGCUGGCUGCUGAUACCGGGAGGCACGGAGAGACCGAGGCCACCCGGAGGGACCGGCGGACAGACAGAUGGUCGGCGCGAGCCGGAGAGGACCGCGGCGGAGGCUGA
rnacentral:lncRNA from 1 species